AUUGAACGCUGGCGGCAGGCCUAACACAUGCAAGUCGAACGAGUGGCGGAGGGGGGCGUCAUGUCUGGGCAACUGCCCGAUGGAGAGGGAGAACUACUCGAAACGGUCUCUAAUACCGCAUACCAUCGGCUUUGCCCCGAUGGGAUUAGCUUGUAGGUGGGGUAACGGCUCACCUAGGCGACGAUCCCCAGCUGGUAUGAGAGGAUUACCAGCCACACUGGAACGGAGGCACGGUCCAGACGCCUACGGGAGGCAGCAGUGGGGAAUAUUGCACAAUGGGGGCAAGCCUGAUGCAGCCAUGCCGCGUGUAUGAAGAAGGCCUUCGGGUGGUAAAGUACUUUCAGCGGGGAGGCGUUACCCGCAGAAGAAGCACAGGCUAACUCCGUGCCAGCAGCCGCGGUAAUUC
rnacentral:rRNA from 1 species